rnacentral:rRNA from 1 species
UACGGGGGGGGGCAAGCGUUGUUCGGAAUUACUGGGCGUAAAGGGCUCGUAGGCGGCCAACUAAGUCGGAUGUGAAAUCCCCAGGCUUAACCUGGGAACUGCAUCCGAUACUGGAUGGCUUGAAUUCGGGAGAGGGAUGCAGAAUUCCAGGUGUAGCGGUGAAAUGCGUAGAUAUCUGGAGGAAUACCGGUGGCGAAGGCGGGUCUCUGGGCCGAUACUGACGCUGAGGAGCGAAAGCGUGGGGAGCGAACAGG